AGCGUAGACGGCAAGGCAAGUCUGAUGUGAAAACCCAGGGCUUAACCCUGGGACUGCAUUGGAAACUGUCUGGCUCGAGUGCCGGAGAGGUAAGCGGAAUUCCUAGUGUAGCGGUGAAAUGCGUAGAUAUUAGGAAGGACACCAGUGGCGAAGGCAGCUUACUGGACGGUAACUGACGUUGAGGCUCGAAAGCGUGGGGAGCAAACA
rnacentral:rRNA from 1 species